CAUAUCAAUAAGCGGAGGAAAAGAAACUAACGAGGAUUCCCCUAGAAACGGCGAGUGAACCGGGAAGAGCUCAAAUUUGUAAUCUGGCCCUGGGGUCCGAGUAGUAAUCUAUAGAGGCGUUUUCCGCGCCGGACCGGAUCCAAUUCCCUUGGAAUAGGGUAUCAAAGAGGGUGACAAUCCCGUACUUGACACGACGACCGGUGCUAUGUGAUACGUCUUCGACGAGUCGAGUUGUUUGGGAAUGCAGCUCAAAAUGGGUGGUAAAUUCCAUCUAAAGCUAAAUAUUGGCGAGAGACCGAUAGCGAACAAGUACCGUGAGGGAAAGAUGAAAAGCACUUUGGAAAGAGAGUUAAACAGUACGUGAAAUUGUUAAAAGGGAAACGAUUGAAGUCAGUCGUGUUGGUUGGAUUCAGCUCGGUCUCCGGGUGUAUUUCCCCCAACGGGUCGACAUCAUUUUGGAUCGGCGGAUAACAAUGGAGGGAACGUGGCUCUCUCGGGAGUGUUAUAGCCCUCUGUUGCAUACGCUGGUCUGGACUGAGGCAUGCAGAUCGCCUCUAUGGCCGGGAUUCGUCCACGUUCGAGCUUAGGAUGUUGACAUAAUGGCUUUAAAC
rnacentral:rRNA from 1 species